rnacentral:rRNA from 1 species
UACAGAGGUCUCAAGCGUUGUUCGGAUUCAUUGGGCGUAAAGGGCGCGUAGGCGGCGGGGUAAGUCGGGUGUGAAAUCCCCGGGCUCAACCUGGGAACUGCAUCCGAAACUGCCUUGCUAGAGUAUGGGAGAGGGAAGUGGAAUUUCCGGUGUAGCGGUGAAAUGCGUAGAUAUCGGAAGGAACAUCAGUGGCGAAGGCGACUUCCUGGACCAAUACUGACGCUCAGGUGCGAAAGCGUGGGGAGCAAACAGG